rnacentral:rRNA from 1 species
GAUGAACGCUGGCGGCGUGCCUAAUACAUGCAAGUCGAGCGAACAGACGAGGAGCUUGCUCCUCUGACGUUAGCGGCGGACGGGUGAGUAACACGUGGAUAACCUACUUAUAAGACUGGGAUAACUUCGGGAAACCGGAGCUAAUGCCGGAUAAUAUAUUGAACCGCAUGGUUCAAUAGUGAAAGACGGUUUUGCUGUCACUUAUAGAUGGAUCCGCGCCGCAUUAGCUAGUUGGUAAGGUAACGGCUUACCAAGGCAACGAUGCGUAGCCGACCUGAGAGGGUGAUCGGCCACACUGGAACUGAGACACGGUCCAGACUCCUACGGGAGGCAGCAGUAGGGAAUCUUCCGCAAUGGGCGAAAGCCUGACGGAGCAACGCCGCGUGAGUGAUGAAGGUCUUCGGAUCGUAAAACUCUGUUAUUAGGGAAGAACAAAUGUGUAAGUAACUAUGCACGUCUUGACGGUACCUAAUCAGAAAGCCACGGCUAACUACGUG